rnacentral:rRNA from 1 species
UUUGAUGGCGACCGGCGCACGGGUGAGUAACACGUAUCCAACCUGCCGAUGACUCGGGGAUAGCCUUUCGAAAGAAAGAUUAAUACCCGAUGGCAUAGUUCUUCCGCAUGGUAGAACUAUUAAAGAAUUUCGGUCAUCGAUGGGGAUGCGUUCCAUUAGGUUGUUGGCGGGGUAACGGCCCACCAAGCCUUCGAUGGACAGGGGUUCUGAGAGGAAGGUCCCCCACAUUGGAACUGAGACACGGUCCAA